rnacentral:rRNA from 1 species
AUGAACGCUGGCGGCGUGCCUCAUACAUGCAAGUCGAGCGAACAGACGAGGAGCUUGCUCCUCUGACGUUAGCGGCGGACGGGUGAGUAACACGUGGAUAACCUACCUAUAAGACUGGGAUAACUUCGGGAAACCGGAGCUAAUACCGGAUAAUAUAUUGAACCGCAUGGUUCAAUAGUGAAAGACGGUUUUGCUUUCACUUAUAGAUGGAUCCGCGCCGCAUUAGCUAGUUGGUAAGGUAACGGCUUACCAAGGCAACGAUGCGUAGCCGACCUGAGAGGGUGAUCGGCCACACUGGAACUGAGACACGGUCCAGACUCCUACGGGAGGCAGCAGUAGGGAAUCUUCCGCAAUGGGCGAAAGCCUGACGGAGCAACGCCGCGUGAGUGAUGAAGGUCUUCGGAUCGUAAAACUCUGUUAUUAGGGAAGAACAAAUGUGUAAGUAACUAUGCACGUCUUGACGGUACCUAAUCAGAAAGCCACGGCUAACUACGUG